UCCUGUCUAUACCAAACUUCCCGGCUUGA
rnacentral:piRNA from 1 species